AUCACUAUUCACUUAUUAUUGUUAUUAUCCUCUGCUUCCUGUGUAAUCUUUGCAAUUUCUAUUUCCAUCUUUUCCUACUUUCUAUCUUCACUUUCCAUAUUUGGAUAGGCUUUCAUGGCUGAGGAGGAGCCUAAGAAGGUGGAAUCAGAAACCCCCUCGGAACCUCCACCUCCUGCUCCUGUACCUGAAGCUGUUGAACCUCCUAAAGACGUGGCUGAGGAGAAAUCUGUGAUUCCUCCGCCUCCGGAAAAGAAGGGCGAUGAGUCCCAAGCGCUUGUUGCUGUUGAAAAGGCUCCGGAGUCUGCUGAGGCUAAAAGUACUGAGGGUUCUGUGAAUCGAGAUGCCGUGCUUGCGAGGGUUGAAACAGAGAAAAGAAUGUCACUUAUUAAAGCAUGGGA
rnacentral:misc_RNA from 1 species